rnacentral:SRP_RNA from 1 species
GCUGGGUGUGGUGGCACACACCUGCAGUCCCAGCUAUUCAGGAGGCUGAGGCUGGAGGAUCGCCUGAGCCCAGGAGUUCUGGGCUGCAGUGCGUUAUGCCAAUCAGGUAUCCGCACUGUUUGGCAUCAAUAUGGUGACCCUCCGGGAGCGGGGAACCACCAGGUUGCAUAAGGAGGGGUGAACUGGUCCAGGUCAGAAACGGAGCAGGUCAGAAUUCAUAAAAAUAGAUAUUUAUAAAAGCAGUACCAUUCCAAAUAUGUAAAAAAAAAUCACAU